rnacentral:lncRNA from 1 species
AGAGUGGAGGCUCCUUUAAUCUUGACAGCCCGAAUGCUACAGGGGUCACAGCACAUCUGCUCCGGAGGAAAGACAAAGGGCAAGCACAUCUCAGGAUGGGGCAAUAUUUGGUGAGAACCAUAUUGGAUUCUACCAAAUUACAAAUAUAUUCCAGAUUUUACCCCAAUCCUGGUUUCCCACCUUGAAAAUGAGUGCCAGGGGUCAUAAGGAAGACUGAAAGAGAACAUAGAGAGUUCAGUGCAAAUCUAUUGCCGUUACCAGACAGUAAUUCAACAGCUUCAUCUUUGAACCAUUAGGUUGGCCUGAUCACUCACUCACCACUCCCUGCAACUCCAUGGAGAAGAUAUAAGCUGUCAAAAAUGUAUUUGUGAGUCUGAUGAGCUCUUUCACCCAGGUGACAGGGGUUUCUGCCAUAUUAAUAUUCUUCUUCUUCUCCACCUUUUGUGUUUCAAUGCUGGGCCUGGAGAAGGCAGGGACCUUGGCUCUUCCACGGUGGCUGUUCAUCAGCACUCACACAUCCACCACACCGGUUUAGUCGCACGCUGGAAGGCCCCGGUGUGUGAUGUUCGAAUUUGGAGGACACACAAACAAACGGAACUCAUCUCCCUGGCCCCUAGGAUUGGUGUAAGGUAAGUAAGCAACAGGCAAGGCUUCUUCCUUGAAGAUAAUAUCAGGCUGGAUGUGCCAGGAGUUGUCUUUGUCAAUAGAGCUUGUCUGAGAAUAAAGGCAAUGCUAGGAAAGCUGAUCUGAGAAAUGGAGAGAGGCAGGGGUGAAGAUGGCAAGGGCGGGAGAAAGGA